GGGGGGGGGGGGGGGGGGGGGGGGGGGGGGGGGGGGGGAGGGGGGGGGGGGUGCGGGGGGGGCGGAGGGGGGGGCGGGGGAGUAACGCGGGGGUAACCUGCGGUGUAGGGGGGGGCAACAGCUGGGAGCGGCGGCUCAUACCGCAUAAGCCCUCAGCACGCCAGGUGGCAUAGGGCACAGUGGCAAUCCGGGACAGGUUGGACCCGCGCCUGAUGCGCCAGUUGGCAGGGUAACGGGCUACCAAACGGCCGAUCAGUGGCCGCUCUGAGAUGAUGUACGGCCACGUUGGGACUGAGACACGGCCCAGACUCCGACGGGAGGCAGCAGUGGGGAAUAUUGCACAAUGGAGGAAACUCUGAUGCAGCGACGCCGCGUGAGUGAAGAAGUAUUUCGGUAUGUACAGCUCUAUCAGCAGGAAAGAAAAUGACGGUACCUGACUAAGAAGCACCGGCUAAAUACGUG
rnacentral:rRNA from 1 species